rnacentral:antisense_RNA from 1 species
GGGGGCGCUGGCUUGCCUGCGAUGACGGUCUGUCAGUCACUUCAUGGCUGACUGAUCCACAUCGCAAGCAAGCCAGCGCCCAC